UGCUUAUAACAUAGUGUUAAUGCACUAGAUCCCAUUAUAAAUCUGCAAUUAACCGCACUCAAUCUAGAGUAGUACAAGGAUGGGUCACCUCCUGAGAAGUCCUAUUAUUUUAGAUGC
rnacentral:rRNA from 1 species